rnacentral:rRNA from 1 species
AUUGAACGCUAGCGGGAUGCUUUACACAUGCAAGUCGAACGAGUGGCGGACGGGUGAGUAAUGUAACGGAACGUGCACAGUAGAGGGGGAUAACUACUCGAAAGCGUGGCCAAUACAGCAUACUAUUGGAGCGGCCGAAAACGGAUUAGCUAGUGGGUGGGGUAAAGGCUCACCAAGGCAACGAUCCGUAGCUGGUCUGAGAGGACGACCAGCCACAUUGGGACUGAGACACGGCCCAGACUCCUACGGGAGGCAGCAGUGGGGAAUAUUGGACAAUGGGGGAAACCCUGAUCCAGCCAUCCCGCGUGUAUGAGAAGGCCUUCGGAUUGUAAAGUACUUUUGGCAGAGAAGCGGUAUCUGCAGAAUAAGCACCGGCUAACUACGUGCCAGCCGCCGCGGUAAUAC